rnacentral:rRNA from 1 species
GACGAACCGUGCGAACGUUAUUCGGAAUCACUGGGCUUAAAGGGCGCGUAGGCGGGCCGAAAAGUCAGGGGUGAAAUCCUCCAGCCCAACUGGAGAAGCGCCUUUGAUACUGUCGGCCUCGAGGGGUGCAGGGGCAUGCGGAACUCAGGGUGGAGCGGUGAAAUGCGUAGAUAUCCUGAGGAACACCGGUGGCGAAAGCGGCGUGCUGGACACCUUCUGACGCUGAGGCGCGAAAGCCAGGGGA